rnacentral:lncRNA from 1 species
AGGUUUUAAAGAAUUUCCUCCAGUCUUUGAACAGCUCCAGGGAGACAGCCUGAGCUCCCGUUCAGUCUGUAGAAGGAAUGUUCUUCCCACCAUCUCUGCCAACUGAACUCCUGAAUCUUUAAGGACAAGCUCAAAUGCUACCAGCUUCUAGAAGCUUCCAAGAUUUCUUCCAGUUAGUUCUCUCUCAAGAAUUCCAGUAAAUUUCCAGAGCACUUUGUCACAUUUCUUUUUUUGACUUUGAAAAAAUCUGAUUUUAUUUUCUGAAUCAUAAAGAAGUAUUUCAUGUUAAAUUUAGACUGUUUAGCUUUCCACUGAUAUCUCAAGAUACUUUCCAGAUAUUAACAGUACUCAGAACUGUGUAAAGGUUAACAACCAAUACCAUGUUUUAAAGAAAAAAGUUUAAAUGUAAGACUAAUGUCUUGGGGACAUUACUAAAUGUAUUUCUAA